rnacentral:misc_RNA from 1 species
GUAAGUUUCUUCUUGCACAAGUAUAUGUCGGUGCUCAUGUUCUAUGACUACUAUCAUUUUUUUGCCCAUGUACAAUUCCACCAUGUUUCUAGUUGAAUUUUAUGUAUUAGGAUGGGAAGUAUCAGUUGAGAAGGUUUUUCUCUGAAAUCUUGUUUUCUCUUGAUUUUAAGGAUCAUAUGGUGGAAAGCUGUAGUGCUUAUGGGUAGAGAGAGAGAGAGAGAG